rnacentral:rRNA from 1 species
UGGCGGACGGGUGAGUAACGCGUGGGUAACCUGCCUCAUACAGGGGGAUAACGGUUAGAAAUGACUGCUAAUACCGCAUAAGCGCACAGUACCGCAUGGUACGGUGUGAAAAACUCCGGUGGUAUGAGAUGGACCCGCGUCUGAUUAGCUAGUUGGUGGGGUAACGGCCCACCAAGGCGACGAUCAGUAGCCGACCUGAGAGGGUGACCGGCCACAUUGGGACUGAGACACGGCCCAA